GAAGGGGGCACCUUGAUCAGCCUGCCGCGUGAUGUGAAGAAGGCCUUCGGGUUGUAAAGCACUUUCAGCGAGGAAGAACGCCUGGUGGUUAAUACCCAUCAGGAAAGACAUCACUCGCAGAAGAAGCACCGGCUAACUCCGUGCCAGCAGCCGCGGUAAUACGA
rnacentral:rRNA from 1 species